rnacentral:rRNA from 1 species
UACAGGGGGGGCAAGCGUUGUUCGGAAUUACUGGGCGUAAAGGGCUUGUAGGUGGCCAACUAAGUCACACGUGAAAUCCCCAGGCUUAACCUGGGAACUGCGUGUGAUACUGGAUGGCUUGAAUCCGGGAGAGGGAUGCGGAAUUCCAGGUGUAGCGGUGAAAUGCGUAGAUAUCUGGAAGAACACCGGUGGCGAAGGCGGUCAACUGGCCCUAAACUGACGCUCAGGCACGAAAGCGUGGGGAUCAAACAGG